rnacentral:tRNA from 1 species
UGCACAGUGGUGUAGUGGUCAGCACUCUCCCCUUACAGUGAGAACAUGCUGGUUCAAAUCCCGUCUGUGUGG